GCUAUUCAGGAGGCUGAGGCAGGAGAAUCGCUUAUUAAUGUUGAACAUUGCCCUUAAUUUUUCUUAGUAUACAUAAAUAAUUGCUAGUAUUUGGACACUCAUGUACAGUUUUGAUUGCUCUGUUCACAUAAAAAUGAAGAGAAAUUGAUAAGAACCUCAUGAUAAAAAUGAUUACAGCCUUGGAAAAUAGAUUCUAUGAGUAAAAUAUUGGAGGGUUUAAAAAAAAAAGAAGUAAAAACUAAGAGUACCUAAUCCUGCCAUUUAUGCUGCAAAGCUUUGAAAUGUCCUCAGAGAGAAAGGAGUCAGUUCAAAUGAUUAAUUUAAAAUGAAAUCAGAAGAAGCAAAAAUUAUAGGAACAAUGGCCCUUGUAUUUCGGGAGGGGACUGAUAUCGUGCAAUGGCAAUGGAGUUUGCCUGUAAAUAGUGGUUAUAAUUCCUACCUUAAGGAUUGGAGAAAUACAGAGUAUAGACCUGUGCUGUCAAUAUGUGGCUGCUGCCUAU
rnacentral:lncRNA from 1 species